UACGUAGGGUGCAAGCGUUGUUCGGAAUCAUUGGGCGUAAAGCGUACGUAGGUGGAUUGAAAAGUCAGGUGUGAAAGCCCACGGCUUAACUGUGGAAUUGCGCUUGAAACUUUCAAUCUAGAGGAUGGUAGAGGUAGGUAGAAUUCCUAGUGUAGAGGUGAAAUUCGUAGAUAUUAGGAGGAACACUCGUGGCGAAGGCGGCCUACUGGGCCAUUCCUGACACUGAGGUACGAAAGCAUGGGGAGCAAACAGG
rnacentral:rRNA from 1 species